rnacentral:rRNA from 1 species
UACGUAGGGGGCUAGCGUUGUCCGGAUUUAUUGGGCGUAAAGCGCGUGUAGGCGGCCAGGCAGGUCUGCUGUGAAAACUCGAGGCUCAACCUCGAGACGUCGGCGGAAACCAUCUGGCUAGAGUCCGGAAGAGGAGAGUGGAAUUCCUGGUGUAGCGGUGAAAUGCGCAGAUAUCAGGAAGAACACCGGUGGUGUAGACGGCUCUCUGGACCGUAACUGACGCUGAGACACGAAAGCGUGGGCAGCAAACGGG